AUCCAACUGACAAGUCCUAAAUAGGACGAAAUGCGCAUCCUGGAU
rnacentral:hammerhead_ribozyme from 1 species